rnacentral:rRNA from 1 species
UACGAAGGGUGCAAGCGUUAAUCGGAAUUACUGGGCGUAAAGGGUGCGUAGGCGGUUCGUUAAGUCUGUCGUGAAAUCCCCGGGCCCAACCUGGGAAUGGCGAUGGAUACUGGCGAGCUAGAGUGUAUCAGAGGAUGGUGGAAUUCCCGGUGUAGCGGUGAAAUGCGCAGAUAUCAGGAGGAACACCAGCGGCGAAGGCGGCGCUCUGGGCUGGAACUGACGCUGAGAAGCGAAAGCAUGGGGAGCGAACAGG